UACGUAGGGUGCGAGCGUUAAUCGGAAUUACUGGGCGUAAAGCGUGCGCAGGCGGUUUUGUAAGCCAGAUGUGAAAUCCCCGGGCUUAACCUGGGAAUGGCAUUUGGGACUGCAAGGCUCGAGUGCGGCAGAGGAGACUGGAAUUCCUGGUGUAGCAGUGAAAUGCGUAGAUAUCUGGAGGAACACCGGUGGCGAAGGCGGCAUCCUGGACCGGUAUUGACGCUGAGGCGCGAAAGCUAGGGGAGCAAACGGG
rnacentral:rRNA from 1 species